GUAGAUUUUGCUGAAAUGGGUUCACGUUCCUGCUGUUUUCACCCGAUCUGGUUAAAUCCGGUGCCAUCGCGCUUCUUGCGAGGCCGAUCCUGAGAAUGCGAAGCAGAGAGGCAGGACCAAAGUUGAGGUGAAUGCAGGGGGGUGCCGAUGGGUCUCCUGGUGCGAGCUCUGAAGUGACUGGAGGGUAUGACGGCAGGAAGGUAUAGGAGGGACAGGGAUAAACGCGGUGCCUUAGAAAAAUUGAAGACAAAAUUGGGCCCAAAAUAAAUUAUUUACUGAGAGGCACGUCUUUUCCAUGCGUAUUGUUUGGUAGUUCCCUGAUGCGGAGAUAAUGUAAGAGCUGUUGGUAUGGUUGGCGGUAGGUAUGUGACCCCAAAGGAGCUUGAAUGAGUCCAAUAGGAGGAUACCUCGAUUUUUAACGCAACGAGCAGUUUUCUGCAAGACCCUUUUCUACAAUGGGGGAAUUAAGAAGGAAAUAAGCUCGCAAGAACGAUUCCAACAUUUCCAAACAAGAUUGCUUCUUUCUCCGCUUUUUGUUUACUUUGUCCAGAUUGCAGCCAAAAAGACUCAUCUCAAGUAAUUAUAUUCUUGGAGAUGUCAGAAAAAGAUUCCUGAGUCUUGGAAGAUAAUUACUUGAAAGAUACAAGAGAGGCUUGAUGUUGAGAAAACGACACCUCCAAGUUAGCAUAAGGAAUAAAAUGGAAGGGUGUUUUUCUUAGAGAACAUCAUUUGUCAGAUUUAUCAGAUCAAAAAUUUGAAGAUUUAUAUAAGGUAAGAGGUUUAUAAAUUUAUUAGUUUUGACAAAAGAACACAGAAAAAAUUAUAUUUGAGCAUGAUGUGGAUAUUGUACUCAAUUAAAAUUUUUUCCUUAUUCUUUCAGUUUUCAAAGAUUACAUAUGAUUUCAAAAAUAAUAUAAUUUUCCAAAUCAAUAGAUUCAAUUCAGGAUAGGCAUUUGGCUGGGUGGGGGGCAGACUUUUAACCUUGGUAGUCAUCU